UUUCAGUAGCUCGAAUGCCCUGCAUAGUACUUCAACUUCUAGUUUAUUAGGCUUAUGCCUCAAUUUAUUCAAGUUAAUAUUUGAUUCCAUGCACGAAAACAUAUUUUAUCGCAAUUUAUAUGGGACAGUAUAAGAACUGCAGUUAAUUGGCUCCUCUAUGCAGGUGAUAAAUUCUUGUGUGAUACAGAUUCUUUCUUUUUCCUUUUUUCUUUGGUUUUUGUUGCAUUUCAAUUGCUGCUCCUAUAUGUUAUAAAUAUCUGCUUUUCCCAGCUAACAUGUUAUAUCAAUGCUGCAGCAUUUUGUCCUUGAAGAAAACAUGUUAGAAGUCGACUGCCCUUGUGUUACACCUGAGAUUGUGCUGAAGGCAUCAGGCCAUGUUGAUAAGUUCACCGACCUUAUGGUUAAAGAUGAAAAAACUGGAACCUGCUACAGAGCAGAUCACCUUUUAAAGGACUAUUGCAAAGACAAGCUUGAGAAAGAUCCUAAUCUAAGUGCGGAGAAGGCAGCGGAAUUGAGCCACGUCCUUGCUGUGUUGGAUGACCUCUCUGCUGAAGAGCUUGGUGCCAAGAUCAAGGAAUAUGGCAUUUCAGCUCCAGAUACAAAGAACCCUCUAUCUGACCCCUAUCCAUUCAAUCUCAUGUUUCAGACAUCAAUAGGUCCAUCUGGUUUGAGCCCUGGGUGAGAAUGUGUAUUUAUACUCCGGAUUAUGCAAUUUUGUUGCUGGUGGCUGGUUUAGGGGUGGGGUGGGGUGGGGUGGGGGGGGUAGGAGGGAAGAAGACAACCAUUUUCUUUAUUUUUUUAAUUUUUUUCUUUAUUUUAUUGAUUUUUUUUUCAAUUUAUUUAAUAUGGUAAUUAUUAAGUUACCAUUUUACCCUUUCAAAUUUAGUCAAAAUAGGUCAAAAUUUACUUUUCUUGGUCAACUAAUGGUCAAACGGACGGUUUCCAUCCAUUUGAACCUUCGGUGCAUAUUUUUGAAAGGUUUGGUACCUCCGGUGGCACAAACUAAAGGUUUGGGCAAAGUCUGCUAAUAAACGAAAAGUUUGGUAUCUCGGCUGCAAUUUUCCCUUAUUUUUAUGUUUUAAUUAUUUAUUUUAAUUGUUUUAUUAUAGGGUUAAGUAACUUUUACCUUUUUACCCUUUUCAAUUGAUCAAAAUAGGUUAACAUUUACUUUUCUUGAUCAACUAACGGUCAAACGGACGGUUUCCAUCUAUUUGAACCUCCGGUGCAUAUUUUUGAAAAGUUUGGUACCUCCAGUGACACAAACUAAAAAUUUGGGUAAAAUCUGCUAAUGAAGAAAAGAUUUGGUACCUCGACUACAAUUUUCCCUUUUGUUAAUGAUAGAAACUCAAACUUUUUCGAGGUAAAAUUUGUAUUUAAAAUAUGGUAAAGUUGAGAAGCUUCCACUCCAAAAAUGUCCUUUGGAUACGUAAUGUAAUGGGCUAGCUUUUCAGCCCAAAUGUACAGAUCGGCGCUUGGAGCAGGCAACAAUGGUGGAUUCUCUCUUCAACCCUAAAUUCCUCCUAAACUCUCUCUCUCUCUCUCACGCCCAGACACAGUGACACAAGGAAGAAAGAAAUAAAGUGGAUGAUUCGGAUAAUUAAAAGGUCAAGUGUGAAAAGAAGCAGCCUAACUGCCAUUUUCUCAUCAAGAACAAAACCAGGUGAGGUUAUUAAUUUUCCCUUUCCCCCUUUCAUUUUUAUUUAUGUCAUACGUGUCAAGUUCAACACGCACGAAUGCCUAUUUAUUACAAUAAUAAAGUAAUUAAUUAGAGAAUUAAAAGUAAUUAGAACGGAAUAUUAGACGUUAGAAAAUGACAAUUCUUUCUUCUUCUUUUUUUUUUUUUUUUGCAUACUUGCGAACCCACAAAUCACGAAACAAUAGGAUAAUUUUAAAUAAAAUAAUAUUCCUAAAUAAUAUAAAAUGAAGAACGUAACUUUUUCCAAAUAAAAGAAAAGAAGAUGCUUUAAAGAGACAUUUAUUUAUUUAUUUUCAGUGUGACCUAAAAAAUCUUGAGCUGAGGGAUUGUGACUUUUGGCCUCAGAAAUGAACGCCUCACAAGAAGCUCACAACAGAGAGGCAUUCCGACAGGCCGUCGGUAACACCCUCGAACGCCGUUUGUUUUACAUCCCCUCUUUCAAGAUCUACCGUGGCGUUGCUGGCCUCUACGACUAUGGACCCCCCGGUUGCGCCGUUAAGUCUAACGUCCUCGCCUUCUGGCGUCAGGUCAGUAUUAUUCUUUCUACUUAAUUGUUCAAAUUCCAAACCUUUCAACAUACUAAUUCAAAAUUUUCAUUUUAUGUCCUAUUCUCUUAUCAUCUUCUAUUCCUUUAUUACAUAUUUUCAUUCCGAACAGUUGAACUUGAAUUAUUAUUAGAGGAAAAUAACAUCAUAUUGACUGUCGGGUAUACCUUGUACUUUGGAAAAUGAGGAAACAAUUGAACUUUUGAGAUAGUCUUUUUUGUAAACGAGCCUUCAUUUUAUUUACCAGAAACUCGAUAAAGCACAAAUUAGCAAAAUCAUUAGUUGGUACCAGAAGGAGAAGGGUGUGAAUCGCUCAAAAUUGUGCAAAAUUUACUACUAUGGCAAAGCUGCUAGACUGUUUACAUGGAAAAGAAGCACUCGGCUUAUGGCAAGUGUUUAUUGAGGCGGGAAGAUAAGUCAUGAAAAUAAUAAACUUCAGGAAUGGCUUUCAUUUCAACCCUAAAAGAGAGUCCAAAUUUGCAUAUUGCUGUCCUUCGCGCUUGGCAUGCCUUUGACAGCUAAGAUUUUGGUUAACUAUAUAACAGCAAAAACGUCAAUUAUUAAAUGUCGGGUUCAACUCUGAUAUGAAUUAAAUAUUAAUUAUAUAGUUUCAGUAGCUCGAAUGCCCUGCAUAGUACUUCAACUUCUAGUUUAUUAGGCUUAUGCCUCAAUUUAUUCAAGUUAAUAUUUGAUUCCAUGCACGAAAACAUAUUUUAUCGCAAUUUAUAUGGGACAGUAUAAGAACUGCAGUUAAUUGGCUCCUCUAUGCAGGUGAUAAAUUCUUGUGUGAUACAGAUUCUUUCUUUUUCCUUUUUUCUUUGGUUUUUGUUGCAUUUCAAUUGCUGCUCCUAUAUGUUAUAAAUAUCUGCUUUUCCCAGCUAACAUGUUAUAUCAAUGCUGCAGCAUUUUGUCCUUGAAGAAAACAUGUUAGAAGUCGACUGCCCUUGUGUUACACCUGAGAUUGUGCUGAAGGCAUCAGGCCAUGUUGAUAAGUUCACCGACCUUAUGGUUAAAGAUGAAAAAACUGGAACCUGCUACAGAGCAGAUCACCUUUUAAAGGACUAUUGCAAAGACAAGCUUGAGAAAGAUCCUAAUCUAAGUGCGGAGAAGGCAGCGGAAUUGAGCCACGUCCUUGCUGUGUUGGAUGACCUCUCUGCUGAAGAGCUUGGUGCCAAGAUCAAGGAAUAUGGCAUUUCAGCUCCAGAUACAAAGAACCCUCUAUCUGACCCCUAUCCAUUCAAUCUCAUGUUUCAGACAUCAAUUGGGCCUUCUGGUUUGAGCCCUGGGUGAGAAUGUGUAUUUAUACUCCGGAUUAUGCAAUUUUGUACUGAUUGCAC
rnacentral:lncRNA from 1 species